rnacentral:rRNA from 1 species
UCGAGCGGCAGCGCGUCCGACCACCCUCGGGUGGUCGGAUGGCGGCGAGCGGCGGACGGGUGAGGAAUGCAUCGGAAUCUGCCUCGUUGUGGGGGAUAACGUAGGGAAACUUACGCUAAUACCGCAUACGACCUACGGGUGAAAGUGGGGGACCUUCGGGCCUCACGCGAUGAGAUGAGCCGAUGCCGGAUUAGCUAGUUGGCGGGGUAAAGGCCCACCAAGGCGACGAUCCGUAGCUGGUCUGAGAGGAUGAUCAGCCACACUGGAACUGAGACACGGUCCAGACUCCUACGGGAGGCAGCAGUGGGGAAUAUUGGACAAUGGGGGCAACCCUGAUCCAGCCAUGCCGCGUGUGUGAAGAAGGCCUUCGGGUUGUAAAGCACUUUUGUUGGGGAAGAAACCGGCCGGGUUAAUACCCUGGUUGAAUGACGGUACCCAAAGAAUAAGCACCGGCUAACUUCGUGCCAGCAGCCGCGGUAAUACGAAGGGUGCAAGCGUUACUCGGAAUUACUGGGCGUAAAGCGUGCGUAGGCGGUUUGUUAAGUCUGCUGUGAAAGCCCUGGGCUCAACCUGGGAACUGCAGUGGAUACUGGCGAGCUAGAGUGUGUCAGAGGAUGGUGGAAUUCCCAGUGUAGCGGUGAAAUGCGUAGAUAUUGGGAGGAACACCAGUGGCGAAAGCGAAUUUCUGGGCUGUUACUGACGCUGAGGUACGAAAGUGUGGGGAGCAAACAGGAUUAGAUACCCUGGUAGUCCACACGGUAAACGAUGGAUACUAGG